UGGGGAAUAUUGCACAAUGGGGGAAACCCUGAUGCAGCGACGCCGCGUGAAGGAUGAAGUAUUUCGGUAUGUAAACUUCUAUCAGCAGGGAAGAAAAUGACGGUACCUGACUAAGAAGCCCCGGCUAACUACGUGCCAGCAGCCGCGGUAAUACGUAGGGGGCAAGCGUUAUCCGGAUUUACUGGGUGUAAAGGGAGCGUAGACGGCAUGGCAAGUCUGAAGUGAAAGCCCGGGGCUCAACCCCGGACUGCUUUGGAAACUGUCAGGCUAGAGUGCUGGAGAGGUAAGUGGAAUUCCUAGUGUAGCGGUGAAAUGCGUAGAUAUUAGGAGGAACACCAGUGGCGAAGGCGGCUUUACUGGACAGUGACUGACGUUGAGGCUCGAAAGCGUGGGGAGCAAACA
rnacentral:rRNA from 1 species